CAUAGUUGGCUGAGUGGUUAAGGUGAUGGACUUGCAACCUUAAAGUCUCCCUGUGCAGGUUCAAAUCCUGCCUACUAUGG